rnacentral:misc_RNA from 1 species
UGGUUCUGGCAUCGAUGAAGAACGCAGCGAAAUGCGAUAAGUAAUGCGAAUUGCAGAAUCCGUGAGUCAUCGAAUCUUUGAACGCAUAUUGCGCCCUUUGGUAUUCCGAAGGGCAUGCCUGUUCGAGCGUCAUUAUCACCUCUCAAGCCUGGCUUGUUGUUGGAUUAAGGUAAAGCUUUAGCUACAACCAAUCCCAAAGAUAAUGACGGUGUCUAUGAGGACCCCAGUACAUUGAGCUUUUUAAGCACGUAUUAGGUGGAAGUCUAGGCCCGGUCUUAAUUACAUUUUUAUUAAGGUUGACCUCGGAUCAGGUAGGAAUACCCGCUGA